rnacentral:rRNA from 1 species
AUGGCUCAGGAUGAACGCUAGCGGCAGGCCUAAUACGAUCGCAAGUCAAGGGGCCAGUAAUGGCACCGGCGGACGGGUGCGUAACGCGUACACAACGUACCUUUGGGUGGGGGAUAGCAUCGGGAAACUGGUGGUAAUACCCCAUGGUAUUGGAGACUGGCAUCAGUUUCAAUUAAAGACUACGCCCAAAGAUCGGUGUGCGUCUGAUUAGCUAGUUGGUAGGGUAACGGCCUACCAAGGCGACGAUCAGUAGGGGAUGUGAGAGCAUGAUCCCCCACACGGGUACUGAGACACGGACCCGACUCCUACGGGAGGCAGCAGUGGGGAAUUUUCCGCAAUGGGCGAAAGCCUGACGGAGCAAUACCGCGUGAGGGAAGACUGCCUAUGGGUUGUAAACCUCUUUUUUCAGGGAGGAAUAAAAUGACGUGUACCUGAAGAAUAAGCAUCGGCUAACUCCGUG